rnacentral:rRNA from 1 species
UACAGAGGUGGCAAGCGUUGUUCGGAAUACUGGGCGUAAAGGCGCGUAGGCGGCCUUCUAAGUCAGACGUGAAAUCCCCAGGCUUAACUUGGGAACUGCGUCUGAGUACUGGGAGGCUUGAGUGCGGGAGAGGGAUGUGGAAUUCCAGGUGUAGCGGUGAAAUGCGUAGAUAUCGGGAGAACAUCAGUGGCGAAGGCGGCCA